rnacentral:rRNA from 1 species
GACGAAUGCUGGCGGCGUGCUUAACACAUGCAAGUCGAACGGUAAGGCUCCAGCUUGCUGGGGUACACGAGUGGCGAACGGGUGAGUAACACGUGGGUGACCUGCCCUGCACUUCGGGAUAAGCCUGGGAAACUGGGUCUAAUACCGGAUAGGACUGCACCGUGAGGGUGUGGUGGAAAGUUUUUUCGGUGUGGGAUGGGCCCGCGGCCUAUCAGCUUGUUGGUGGGGUAAUGGCCUACCAAGGCGGCGACGGGUAGCCGGCCUGAGAGGGUGGACGGCCACAUCGGGACUGAGACACGGCCCAGACUCCUACGGGAGGCAGCAGUGGGGAAUAUUGCACAAUGGGCGGAAGCCUGAUGCAGCGACGCCGCGUGGGGGAUGACGGCCUUCGGGUUGUAAACUCCUUUCACCAUCGACGAAGGGUUUCUGACGGUAGAUGGAGAAGAAGCACCGGCUAACUACGUGCCAGCAGCCGCGGUAAUACGUAGGGUGCGAGCGUUGUCCGGAAUUACUGGGCGUAAAGAGCUCGUAGGUGGUUUGUCGCGUCGUCUGUGAAAUUCCGGGGCUUAACUCCGGGCGUGCAGGCGAUACGGGCAUAACUUGAGUACUGUAGGGGAGACUGGAAUUCCUGGUGUAGCGGUGAAAUGCGCAGAUAUCAGGAGGAACACCGGUGGCGAAGGCGGGUCUCUGGGCAGUAACUGACGCUGAGGAGCGAAAGCAUGGGGAGCGAACAGGAUUAGAUACCCUGGUAGUCCAUGCCGUAAACGGUGGGCGCUAGGUGUGGGUUUCCUUCCACGGGAUCCGUGCCGUAGCUAACGCAUUAAGCGCCCCGCCUGGGGAGUACGGCCGCAAGGCUAAAACUCAAAGGAAUUGACGGGGGCCCGCACAAGCGGCGGAGCAUGUGGAUUAAUUCGAUGCAACGCGAAGAACCUUACCUGGGCUUGACAUAUACAGGAUCGCGCCAGAGAUGGUGUUUCCCUUGUGGCUUGUAUACAGGUGGUGCAUGGUUGUCGUCAGCUCGUGUCGUGAGAUGUUGGGUUAAGUCCCGCAACGAGCGCAACCCUUGUCUUAUGUUGCCAGCACGUUGUGGUGGGGACUCGUAAGAAACUGCCGGGGUUAACUCGGAGGAAGGUGGGGAUGACGUCAAAUCAUCAUGCCCCUUAUGUCCAGGGCUUCACACAUGCUACAAUGGUCGGUACAGUGGGUUGCCAGUCCGUGAGGGCGAGCUAAUCCCGCAAAGCCGGUCUCAGUUCGGAUCGGGGUCUGCAACUCGACCCCGUGAAGUCGGAGUCGCUAGUAAUCGCAGAUCAGCAACGCUGCGGUGAAUACGUUCCCGGGCCU